UAGGGAAUCUUCGGCAAUGGACGGAAGUCUGACCGAGCAACGCCGCGUGAGUGAAGAAGGUUUUCGGAUCGUAAAGCCCUGUUGUUAGAGAAGAACGUUGGUAGGAGUGGAAAAUCUACCAAGUGACGGUAACUAACCAGAAAGGGACGGCUAACUACGUGCCAGCAGCCGCGGUAAUACGUAGGUCCCGAGCGUUGUCCGGAUUUAUUGGGCGUAAAGCGAGCGCAGGCGGUUCUUUAAGUCUGAAGUUAAAGGCAGUGGCAUAACCAUUGUACGCUUUGGAAACUGGAGGACUUGAGUGCAGAAGGGGAGGGUGGAAUUCCAUGUGUAGCGGUAAAAAGCGUAUAUAUAUGGAGGAACACCGGGAGCGAAAGCGGCGCUCUGGUCUGUAACAGACUCUGAGGCACAAAAGCGUGGGGAGCAAACGGG
rnacentral:rRNA from 1 species